rnacentral:rRNA from 1 species
UUGUUGCGGUUAAAAAGCUCGUAGUUGGAUUUCUGUCGAGGGCGGCCGGUCCGCACUAUGUGCGUGUAUCUGGUUCGGUCUUGGCAUCCUCUUGGGGAUCGUUCGUGUGCUUGAUUGCAUGCGACGGAAUUCAAGACUUUUACUUUGAGGAAAUUAGAGUGCUCACAGCAAGCUAUCGCUUUGAAUACAUUAGCAUGGAAUAAUAAUAUAGGGCGUAAGUUCUAUCUUGUUGGUUCAUAGAAAAUACGCAAUGAUUAAUAGGGAUAAUUGGGGGCACUCGUAUUAACGCGUCAGAGGUGGAAUUCUUAGAUUGCGUUACGACGAACUACUGCGAAAGCAUUUGCCAAGGAUGUUUUCAUUGAUCAAGAACGAAAGUAUGGGGAUCGAAGACGAUUAGAUACCGUCGUAGUCUAUACCAUAAACUAUGCCAACUAGAGAUCGGAGGUCGUUUUAUUUAUGACUCCUUCGGCACCUUAUGAGAAAUCAAAGUUUUUGGGU